rnacentral:rRNA from 1 species
GACGAACGCUGGCGGCGUGCCUAAUACAUGCAAGUAGAACGCUGAAGAGAGGAGCUUCCUCUUCUUGGAUGAGUUGCGAACGGGUGAGUAGCGCGUAGGUAACCUGCCUUGUAGCGGGGGAUAACUAUUGGAAACGAUAGCUAAUACCGCAUAACAAUGGAUGACACAUGUCAUUUAUUUGAAAGGGGCAAUUGCUCCACUACAAGAUGGACCUGCGUUGUAUUAGCUAGUAGGUGAGGUAAUGGCUCACCUAGGCGACGAUACAUAGCCGACCUGAGAGGGUGAUCGGCCACACUGGGACUGAGACACGGCCCAGACUCCUACGGGAGGCAGCAGUAGGGAAUCUUCGGCAAUGGGGGCAACCCUGACCGAGCAACGCCGCGUGAGUGAAGAAGGUUUUCGGAUCGUAAAGCUCUGUUGUAAGUCAAGAACGGGUGUGAGAGUGGAAAGUUCACACUGUGGCGGUAGCUUACCAGAAAGGGACGGCUAACUACGUG